ensembl:misc_RNA Metazoa_SRP Metazoan signal recognition particle RNA
GCUGGGCGUGGUGGCAUGCGCCUGUAAUCCCAGCUACCUGGGAGGCUGAGGCAGGAGAAUCGCUUGAACCCAGGAAGCAGAGAUUGCAGUGAGCUCAGAUUGUGCCACUGCACUCCAGCCUGGGUGACAGAGUGAGACUCCGUCUCAA